rnacentral:lncRNA from 1 species
CACAGACAGCCUAGACUAGAGGGACAGGCCACAGACAGCCAAGAGGGACAGGCCACAGACAGCCUAGACUAGAGGGACAGGCCACAGACAGCCUAGAGGGACAGGCCACAGACAGCCAAGAGGGACAGGCCACAGACAGCCUAGAGGGACAGGCCACAGACAGCCUAGAGUGACAGGCCACAGACAGCCAAGAGGGACAGGCCACAGACAGCCUAGAGGGACAGGCCACAGACAGCCAAGAGGGACAGGCCACAAACAGCCUAGACUAGAGGGACAGGCCACAGACAGCUAAGAGGGACAGGCCACAGACAGCCAAGAGGGACAGGCCACAGACAGCCUAGAGGGACAGGCCACAGACAGCCUAGAGGGACAGGCCACAGACAGCCUAGAGGGACAGGCCACAGACAGCCAAGAGGGACAGGCCACAGACAGCCUAGACUAGAGGGACAGGCCACAGACAGCCAAGACGGACAGGCCACAGACAGCCUAGAGGGACAGGCCACAGACAGCCAAGAG